GCCAUUUUGUGCGUCCCUCAGGGGGGCGAUGGGUUCCCUGAUGGAAGGGGGGGGGGGGUGUGUUUGUGCCGCCCCGUUCCCCCUUCCCUGCGGGGGCUGCUCCGUGAUGAGCCCGUUCACAGACCUGAGCUGACCGCGGGGUGAAGGCUCGUGUAUCUCUGAGGGAGCCGCGCUCCCCGGGAGGGGUGGGGUGGGGGGGGGACAGCGGGACCAGCGCCGCUCCCUCCUUAACGCCGCUUCAUCCGCAGGCUCAGCCCCCGCCAUGGAGCCGCUGUCGCCGGGGGGCGGGGGGUGACGCAACCCCGAGAGUGACCCCCACGAUGGCCAGUGGGGCUGAAUGUGAGGCCGCCGGCCCCCGAUGAGGAAACCCCUCCGCGUCUGACCCCCCCCCGGCCACCAGGACCUGCCCAAGCCCGGCCCUGGACACCCCAUGGGAGCAGGUGGCACGAGCCGAGGGCGGGGCCGGAGAUGUGCCCCCGCUCGGAUGGAUCCCGCGGCCUCGUGUCACAAGUUCAAUGAAAUCGAUAUUUUUGUUCAAUAAAAUGGAUAUUUUUGAUACAAAA
rnacentral:lncRNA from 1 species